rnacentral:rRNA from 1 species
AGCGAACGCUGGCGGCAGGCUUAACACAUGCAAGUCGAGCGGGCGUAGCAAUACGUCAGCGGCAGACGGGUGAGUAACGCGUGGGAACAUACCUUUUGGUUCGGAACAACACAGGGAAACUUGUGCUAAUACCGGAUAAGCCCUUACGGGGAAAGAUUUAUCGCCGAAAGAUUGGCCCGCGUCUGAUUAGCUAGUUGGUGAGGUAACGGCUCACCAAGGCGACGAUCAGUAGCUGGUCUGAGAGGAUGAUCAGCCACAUUGGGACUGAGACACGGCCCAAACUCCUACGGGAGGCAGCAGUGGGAAUAUUGGACAAUGGGCGCAAGCCUGAUCCAGCCAUGCCGCGUGAGUGAUGAAGGCCCUAGGGUUGUAAAGCUCUUUUAUGCGGGAAGAUAAUGACGGUACCGCAAGAAUAA